AAAAAUGGUAAUAAGCGCAGAUACAAAACCGAUAUAAAACCCGUUUGAUUGCCUGUUUAACUGUCAAUUUUUAAAACGCAAUCGCUCUUAGUGUAUGAGAAACUAUAAGAUCUCGAAGACAACCGGUAUAAGAUAUACAUGCAAAACCAGUGCACGCAAUAUAACUACAUUCAUUGGCAACUGUACCAGCUUGAUAAUCGGUUAGAAUUUAGUCCAAAAUAAUCUUCAGCAGCAAAUCAUGUCUUGGGGAAAUUCAUGGGGAAACAGCAGUUGGGGAAACAGCUUGGGUGUUUCCGGAAGUAGUUUCUGCACACGCUCCGAGGUAAAUGGUCAACACAGCUCCCACUGCAGUGGUUACACAAGUCCAUGGGGAAAUAGCAGUUAUGACGAAAACUGUUCUGGAUGUCGACGAGACAGAUCUCAGGGAAUAUGGGGAGGUGGGAGCAACUCCAACAGUGCUCUGAAACUAGUUUCAUUAUUCACUGGAGCAAAACUUGCUAAGAAAAGUCUCUGGGACUGAACUUUGCCGAGAAUACUUACACAAAUAAUGUCCUGAAAAUAGUAUCAUUAUUUAUCAGACAAAAUCUUGCCAAGAGAGGUCGGUGUGACUGAAGUUUGCUAGAUAAAGACAUCAGCAAGCAUUACUCAACACGACAAAACAAAAUUUCACAAGACUGUGUUCACAAAGUAAGAUAUAUUUAUAUCCUCAAUGUAUUAUUUUUAACAUUUUUACAUAGUACUGUUAUUGCCUUCUGUUCUAUUUAUGUGUUUUGCUAUAUUUACAUGCUCUUUACUUUUUGUGCAAUAUUGAACCUAAGUCAAAGAUUAUCGUGUGCCAAAGUUUUGUUGGGAAUUAAAUGUAUUAACAUUUAUA